rnacentral:piRNA from 1 species
ACCCAGAGAGGUUGUGGACUUUCAUAGUC